UAUGUGCGUAUGUAUAUAUAUAUAUAUAUAUAUAUAUAUAUAUAUAUAUUAAUGUGUAUGCGUGCGCGCUUCGCUUCUAUUAGAAAUGUUUCAUUUCAAUUGAUUUGCGCACAUAAAAGCCAUCCUAUAAUGAUUAACUGUGCGAACUUGUGCUUCGAUCACGUCAAUCCAAUAAAAUUUCUCUUGAAUUGCCUGAAAGAAAAAAAAAAAAAAAAAAAAGAGAAAAGAAAAAAGAAACAGAAAGAAAAAAAGGUAAGACUGCUCCAUAUAAAUCUAUACACUGCCUCUUGGGAUCAUAUAAUAAUUUUUUCUUCCAUUUUUUAAACAAUUUUUUGUCACGUUACAACUGAAGAUUUCUAGGUAUGCCUAUUAACGAGAUAUGUAAUAUAUAUAUAUAUAUUUUUUUGUUUACGGUACUCUUCGAAUGCAGUGAUUUCAUUAGGAUGAGCAAGUUGCGCAGGCAACUGUGAUAUAAUAGCAUAAUAUCGAUUUGUUAAGUGGCGAACAUUUUAUUCCUUUUACUUGGUGUAUAUAAUAGUACACGUGUCUCGUUGUUAAUAAUUAUUAUAGUUAUUAUUAUUAUUAUUAUUAUUGUUAUAAUGUAAUGCGUAUUGUUACGAAAAACGUAAUGGAUGAACACACACAUACACAUACACACAAGACGGUUCAACGUCCCCGCUGAAAUGGAAAUUCCUUCGUGUUAAUUAUAGUAUUUAUAUGCAAUUUUAAUGGACGUAGGAGUCGUUAAGUCCUUUCAUAUGUUAAUUAAUAUUUAUCAAGGAUUUGUGCGCUCUUUCAGUCGAUGCUGAUAAUAUAAAACGAAUAAUAUGACAAUAUGAAAUAUAAUCGUAAACAUUGUUCUCGUAAAAUGUUAGAUUUGUUUUUGUCAACUACAAUCAAACAAGUGGAAUGAAUUUAAUAGAGCAUUUAUAUAAGUGUGUAUAUAUAUAUAUAUACACACACACAUGCACACGACGUAGUUCGUGCUUUAAUAUAUUAGAAUUUAAGCGCACAAUUUUUAAGCUGCCAAAAAAGAAAGCAAAAAAGAAAACAAACGAUUGAUUUUUAUCAAGAUUUGCUAAUAUAAUCAUUUACAUAUUUACAAUAGUUAUUAAGUAAUGAGUACUGUAGAUAAAAGUACAAUCUCUCUUAUUUAAAUAUACAUAUGUACGAGACAGUAUGUAUGAUAACGACCGUGUUUAAUAAAGGCGAAUCUGACAGAAAUAA